GACCCGUUGGCGCAAUGGUAGCGCGUCUGAUUUCACAUCAGAAGGUUAAGCGUUCAAAUCGCUUACGGGUCA
rnacentral:tRNA from 1 species